CCUACGGGUGGCUGCAGUGAGGAAUAUUGGUCAAUGGACGAGAGUCUGAACCAGCCAAGUAGCGUGAAGGAUGACUGCCCUAUGGGUUGUAAACUUCUUUUAUAGGGGAAGAAAACAGGGGAUGAAUACACUCUUGUAUGUACCAUAUGAAUAAGGAUCGGCUAACGCCGGGCCAGCAGCCGCGGUAAUACGGAGGAUCCGAGCGUUAUCCGGAUUUAUUGGGUUUAAAGGGAGCGUAGGUGGAUUGGUAAGUCAGUUGUGAAAGGUAGCGGCGCAACCGUAAAAUUGCAGUUGAUACUGGCAGUCUUGAGUACAGUAGAGGUGGGCGGAAUUCGUGGUGUAGCGGUGAAAUGCUUAGCUAUCACGAAGAACUCCGAUUGCGAAGGCAGCUCACUGGACUGCAACUGACACUGAUGCUCGAAAGUGUGGGUAUCAAACAGGAUUAGAUACCCGGGUAGUC
rnacentral:rRNA from 1 species